rnacentral:rRNA from 1 species
UAACCUGCCUCUUAGCGGGGGAUAACUAUUGGAAACGAUAGCUAAUACCGCAUAAAAGUCGACAUUGCAUGAUGUUGAUUUGAAAGGUGCAAUUGCAUCACUAAGAGAUGGACCUGCGUUGUAUUAGCUAGUUGGUGAGGUAACGGCUCACCAAGGCGACGAUACAUAGCCGACCUGAGAGGGUGAUCGGCCACACUGGGACUGAGACACGGCCCAG